GCGGACAGUAGGCUGGGCCUGUACACCAGUAAACAAUGAAGGCGGCGGCCAUUCUCUGCCUCUUCUGCUUCACACUUGUACAACCACGAGGUGACACGUGACGAGUUCGUGCAGCAUUUCGCCGGCAACUCCAGCACGCUCCGCAUCGUGGCGCUGGGGCUCUUCCUCGACAUGGACUCCGACAAGAACGGCAUGCUGGAGCAGAACGACGCCACCACCUACUUCAACAAGAUCGACACCGACGAUGACGGCGAGGUAAACCGCGAGGAGUUUGUCAGCUUCUUUACACAGCUGUUCGAGCAGCUGUUUCUUAUCCAAAUCAUCGUCAGUCAUGGCGGCCUGACUACAACCCACGCUCCGUAAGAGGACGAGACUGGCGCUGAUGGCGGUACCAGGACUGCAAGCAUCCAUCUCUUGUUAGCACUGUCAGCACAUCUCAGGCACUGGCACGAGUGAUCUCUCCUAUCUCAGCACUAAAGAAGUCAAAGGGCACUAACUCGUGGUCACUUCCGCUCUUAUUACACGCCUUGUGAUAGUUGUAUUGCAUAGGAAAUAAACAGAAUUCACAAAGUUU
rnacentral:lncRNA from 1 species